rnacentral:sRNA from 1 species
UAUCCCCCAAACUAAGGGGGGAUGAGAACCACCGACCGGGGUUCGACAACUGGCGCAGCCAGUUGGACAGACGACGAGCUUGUGAGGAGACUGCCCGAAGGGCGAGCGCAGCGAGUCAAUCCCCCCCCUCACCGCCA